GAUGAACGCUGGCGGCGUGCCUAACACAUGCAAGUCGAGCGAACAGACGAGAGUGCUUGCACUCUCUGACGUUAGCGGCGGACGGGUGAGUAACACGUGGGUAACCUACCUAUAAGACUGGGAUAACUUCGGGAAACCGGAGCUAAUACCGGAUAAUAUUUAGCUUCGCAUGAAGCAAUAGUGAAAGACGGUUCUGCUGUCACUUAUAGAUGGACCCGCGGUGUAUUAGCUAGUUGGUGAGGUAACGGCUCACCAAGGCAACGAUACAUAGCCGACCUGAGAGGGUGAUCGGCCACACUGGGACUGAGACACGGCCCAGACUCCUACGGGAGGCAGCAGUAGGGAAUCUUCCGCAAUGGACGAAAGUCUGACGGAGCAAUGCCGCGUGAGUGAAGAAGGUUUUCGGAUCGUAAAACUCUGUUGUAAGGGAAGAACAAGUACGUUAGUAACUGAACGUACCUUGACGGUACCUUACCAGAAAGCCACGGCUAACUACGUG
rnacentral:rRNA from 1 species